rnacentral:misc_RNA from 1 species
AAGUCGUAACAAGGUUUCCGUAGGUGAACCUGCGGAAGGAUCAUUAACAAAUCUUUGAGCUUAAUUGCUCAGUAACCUUUGUGAAUUGGCUCGUUUAGGCGAGUUAGAUGGGACAUGAGAGCAGUGGAAUAGUGAUUUGACUGUUGUAAGGUCUAUUACUAUCUGCUAACAUUAUAAAAUUGUCUGAUUAGAUUGGGAAACCGCAUGGUUUUCGAUAAUAAUACAACUUUUAACAAUGGAUCUCUUGGCUCUU